AAAUAGAAAACAUACCUCCAUUCAUCAUUCCUUCUGGGAAGAAGUAGACUAAUAGGUAAGAAGCAACUAAUUCUUCAUGGGAUUUAAAACUAAGUAGAUGAAUCUGAAGUCUGGGCUGCUUCCAUUCUACCCCAUUGUCUCUUCUGAGGGAGAAAGCUUCUAAGGGAGAAAGCCCUUGGGCCUUGGAACAAAAGAAGACAGAGUCUUUAGAGUACACACUCCAUACUUCCAUUAAAUAAAUUUCAACAACAGGUCAAAGCAUGUAUCUUGCAACCUCCUCUGAAUAAGGCUCAGUGCAAAGCUGGGGUCAGUGGCCUUUACCUUCAUUCUUAUCUAUCAAGGAUGUUUUGUGAGCAUAAGAGGCAGCAACUUUACUUGUAUUUCAUUUCAUAGCUUAAUUAUAUCUACAUACAAUUAGAAACAUAUGGUAAGGCGUAUUUGUGAAGGUCACAAAAUCUACUAGAGUUAGAAUGCCAGGAUUUGAUUCCAACUUCUGCCACUUACUAACUGCGGAACCUUAGGCAAGUCACUUAACCUCUAAGUUUCCUCAGCUGUAAAACAACAAUAAACACAGUCUACAGGU